rnacentral:rRNA from 1 species
UACGAAGGGGGCGAGCGUUGUUCGGAAUCACUGGGCGUAAAGGGCGCGUAGGCGGCCCGCUAAGUCGAACGUGAAAUCCCCGGGCUUAACCCGGGAACUGCGUCCGAUACUGGCAGGCUUGAAUUCGGGAGAGGGAUGUGGAAUUCCAGGUGUAGCGGUGAAAUGCGUAGAUAUCUGGAGGAACACCGGUGGCGAAGGCGGCAUCCUGGACCGAUAUUGACGCUGAUGCGCGAAAGCCAGGGGAGCAAACGGG